rnacentral:rRNA from 1 species
AGCGAACGCUGGCGGCAGGCCUAACACAUGCAAGUCGAACGGAUCCUUCGGGAUUAGUGGCGGACGGGUGAGUAACACGUGGGAACGUGCCCUUUGGUUCGGAACAACUCAGGGAAACUUGAGCUAAUACCGGAUGUGCCCUUCGGGGGAAAGAUUUAUCGCCAUUGGAGCGGCCCGCGUCUGAUUAGCUAGUUGGUGAGGUAACGGCCUACGAAGGCAACGAUCAGUAGCUGGUCUGAGAGGGUGAUCCGCCACCCUGGAACUGAGACUCGGCCCAGACUCCGACGGGGGGCAGCAGUAGAGACUCUUACGCGAUGGGGGAGAGCGGGACGGAGCAAAGCCGCGGGAGUGAUGAAGGUGCUAGGAUCGUAAAACUAUGUAAGUAGGGAAGAAGUAAUGUGUUAGUAACUAUGAACGUAUUGACGGUACCUAAUGAGAAAGCCACGGCUAACUACGUG